rnacentral:rRNA from 1 species
CCAUCAUUGAGUUGGCACUCUAAAGAGACUGCCGGUGUCAAACCGGAGGAAGGUGGGGAUGACGUCAAGUCCUCAUGGCCUUUAUGACCAGGGCUACACACGUACUACAAUGGCCGGUACAAAGGGCAGCGACACAGCGAUGUGAAGCGAAUCCCGAAAAGCCGGUCUCAGUCCGGAUUGGAGUCUGCAACUCGACUCCAUGAAGUUGGAAUCGCUAGUAAUCGCGGAUCAGCACGCCGCGGUGAAUACGUUCCCGGGCCUU